UGGGGAAUCUUGCGCAAUGGGCGAAAGCCUGACGCAGCGAUGCCGCGUGCGGGAUGAAGGCCUUCGGGUUGUAAACCGCUUUCAGCAGGGACGAAAUUGACGGUACCUGCAGAAGAAGCCCCGGCCAACUACGUGCCAGCAGCCGCGGUAAUACGUAGGGGGCGAGCGUUGUCCGGAUUUAUUGGGCGUAAAGAGCUCGUAGGCGGUUCGGUAAGUCGGAUGUGAAAUCUCCACGCUCAACGUGGAGAGGCCAUUCGAUACUGCCGUGACUCGAGUCCGGUAGGGGAGUGUGGAAUUCCCGGUGUAGCGGUGAAAUGCGCAGAGAUCGGGAGGAACACCCGUAGCGAAGGCGGCACUCUGGGCCGGUACUGACGCUGAGGAGCGAAAGCGUGGGGAGCAAACAGG
rnacentral:rRNA from 1 species